ACGGGUGAGUAACACGUGGGUAACCUGCCUGUAAGACUGGGAUAACUCCGGGAAACCGGGGCUAAUACCGGAUAACUUCUUUCUUCGCAUGAAGAGAGAUUGAAAGAUGGCUUUUAGCUAUCACUUACAGAUGGACCCGCGGCGCAUUAGCUAGUUGGUGAGGUAAUGGCUCACCAAGGCAACGAUGCGUAGCCGACUUGAGAGGGUGAUCGGCCACACUGGGACUGAGACACGGCCCAGACUCCUACGGGAGGCAGCAGUAGGGAAUCUUCCGCAAUGGACGAAAGUCUGACGGAGCAACGCCGCGUGAGUGAUGAAGGUUUUCGGAUCGUAAAACUCUGUUGUUAGGGAAGAACAAGUGUCGUUCGAAUAGGGCGGUACCUUGACGGUACCUAACCAGAAAGCCACGGCUAACUACGUGCCAGCAGCCGCGGUAAUACGUAGGUGGCAAGCGUUGUCCGGAAUUAUUGGGCGUAAAGCGCGCGCAGGCGGUUUCUUAAGUCUGAUGUGAAAGCCCACGGCUCAACCGUGGAGGGUCAUUGGAAACUGGGAGACUUGA
rnacentral:rRNA from 1 species